AUGAUCUACAUAACCAAAAUAUGCAGCUUUUCACUGCAAUGAACAAUGCGAAGAAAUCUGGUAGGGCCUCAAGGUGUGAUGCUACUACUGAUCCAGAAGAUGGUCAAAUUUAUGCUUUGCGGAAGAGUGCUCGAGGUAAGAAU